UACGGAGGGUGCAAGCGUUAUUCGGAAUUACUGGGCGUAAAGCGCACGCAGGCGGUCUGUCAAGUCGGAUGUGAAAUCCCCGGGCUCAACCUGGGAACUGCAUUCGAAACUGGCAGGCUAGAGUCUUGUAGAGGGGGGUAGAAUUCCCGGUGUAGCGGUGAAAUGCGUAGCGAUCUGGAGGAAUACCGGUGGCGAAGGCGGCCCCCUGGACAAAGACUGACGCUCAGGUGCGAAAGCGUGGGGAGCAAACAGGAUUAGAUACCCUGGUAGUCCACGCCGUAAACGAUGUCGAUUUGGAGGUUGUGCCCUUGAGGCGUGGCUUCCGGAGCUAACGCGUUAAAUCGACCGCCUGGGGAGUACGGCCGCAAGGUUAAA
rnacentral:rRNA from 1 species